rnacentral:rRNA from 1 species
GACGAACGCUGGCGGCGUGCUUAACACAUGCAAGUCGUACGGCAAGGCCCUUUCGGGGGUACACUAGUGGCGACCGGUGGCGUAACACGGGAGUAAACUGCCCACACCUCUGGGUUAAGGCUAAGAAACUGGUGCUACUACUGCUUAUGUGCCCCUGCUGCAUCGUGGGGGUUCAAAAGCUCCGGCGGCAGUGGAUGGACGCACGGGCUAUGGGCGGGUUGGCGGGGUAGUGGCCUACCAAGCCAGCGACGGGUCGCCGGCCUGGGAGGGUGACCGGCGACAAUGGGACUGAGAGACGGACCAGACGCCUACGGGGGGCAGCAGGGGGGAGCAUGACACAACGGGCGCAAGCCUGAUGCAGAAGCGCCGCGUGCGGGAAGACGGCCUUCGGGGUGUGAACCGCUUUCAGCAGGGACGAAGCUUUUUGUGACGGAACCUGCAGAAGAGGCACGGGCAACCUCCGU